GUUGGUGAACCAGCGGAGGGAUCAUUACCGAGUUUACAACUCCCAAACCCCUGUGAAUAUACCAUCGUUGCUUCGGCGGAUCACCCCGGGCGCUUCGGCGCCCCGGAUCCAGGUGCCCGCCGGAGGCCAAAAAACCACUGUGUAUUAUGUUUUCUUCUGAGUUAAACAAGCAAAUAAAUCAAAACUUUCAACAACGGAUCUCUUGGUUCUG
rnacentral:misc_RNA from 1 species